rnacentral:rRNA from 2 species
AAUCAAGUGCCUUAAGGGUGUUCGGUGGAUGCCUUGGCGCUGAGAGGCGAUGAAGGACGUGCUACGCUGCGAUAAGCCGUGGGGAGCUGCGAAGAAGCUUUGAUCCACGGAUUUCCGAAUGGG